rnacentral:misc_RNA from 1 species
UUAAAAUUUGAAAGAAGAAAAUUACUUUUCUGCUGUGCUGAAGCGUGGGAGAAGGACCCUAAAGUCAAAUUCAAGAGUAGUUUCACUCGCAAGAUUCAACUCUAGUCUCAUCACAAGAAGCGAUAAAAAAAAGAAACGAUGAAAAAAAAAAAAAAAAAAAAAAUAAAAAUCUCUCCUUUGUCAAAAAGUGGACCAAACCCUCUCCUCCUCCAAAACUCGAUUCCCACGGGGCCCCCCUAUAACCCCACUUCCAUGGCUCCACGUCCUGAAUACGCAAUUGACCCAAUUAUUAAGGACUCUUCCUCUUUCUCCCU